UAAAUAAUUUUAAGCCUGAAAAACCAUCUCAUCAGAGAGAGGAUAGUCUUUUAACUCUGCACACUGGUGCUUUUGUCUUGAAGCAAUUGACAUCUAAUGAGGAAGAAAACAACAUUUUGAAGGAAUCUCUACACCCAUUGUGGGGCUCAAACCCACAACCCGAGAUCAAGCGUUGCAUGAUCUACUGACAGAACCAUCCAGAGCUUUUAUUUUUAAGUAAUCUCUAUACCCACCGUGGGGCUCGGACUCACAACGCUGAGAUCAAGAGUUGCACACUCUGCUGACUGAACCAUCCAGGCGAUGCAAGAACGUUAAAUAAGGUUCAGUAACCUUGUCUUCUUAUUUGAUUUCACCUUAAAAUAUUAUGAUUUAGUUUUAAUACCUGAAUAAUUAGUGUAUAAUUGG